CAGCCGCCACGGUAAUACGUAGGUGGCAAGCGUUGUCCGGAAUUAUUGGGCGUAAAGGGCUCGCAGGCGGUUUCUUAAGUCUGAUGUGAAAGCCCCCGGCUCAACCGGGGAGGGUCAUUGGAAACUGGGAAACUUGAGUGCAGAAGAGGAGAGUGGAAUUCCACGUGUAGCGGUGAAAUGCGUAGAGAUGUGGAGGAACACCAGUGGCGAAGGCGACUCUCUGGUCUGUAACUGACGCUGAGGAGCGAAAGCGUGGGGAGCGAACAGGAUUAGAUACCCGGGUAGUCCCUGUCUCUUAUAC
rnacentral:rRNA from 1 species